GUCAGUUUCAGCCCAGUCAGUCAGUCAGUUUCAGCCCAGUCAGUCAGUCAGUUUCAGCCCAGUCAGUCAGUCAGUCAGUUUCAGCCCAGUCAGUCAGUCAGCCAGUUUCUGCCUAGUCAGUCAGUCAGUCAGUUUCAGCCCAGUCAGUCAGUCAGUCAGUUUCAGCCCAGUCAGUCAGUCAGUCAGUUUCAGCCCAGUCAGUCAGUCAGCCAGUUUCUGCCCAGUCAGUCAGUCAGUUUCAGCCCAUCAGUCAGUCAGUCAGUCAGUUUCAGCCCAGUCAGUCAGUCAGUUUCAGCCCACCCAGUCAGUCAGUCAGUUUCAGCCCAGUCAGUCAGUCAGUUUCAGCCCAGUCAGUCAGUCAGUUUCAGCCCAGUCAGUCAGUCAGUCAGUUUCAGCCCAGUCAGUCAGUCAGUUUCAGCCAGUUUCAGCCUAGUCAGUCAGUCAGUCAGUUUCAGCCCACCCAGUCAGUCAGUCAGUCAGUUUCAGCCCAGUCAGUCAGUCAGUUUCAGCCCAGUCAGUCAGUCAGUCAGUCAGUCAGUUUCAGCCCAGUCAGUCAGUCAGUUUCAGCCCAGUCAGUCAGUCAGUUUCAGCCCAGUCAGUCAGUCAGUCAGUUUCAGCCCAGUCAGUCAGUCAGCCAGUUUCUGCCUAGUCAGUCAGUCAGUCAGUUUCAGCC
ensembl:lncRNA